rnacentral:piRNA from 1 species
UAUUCGAUGAAUAUGAAUUUA